UAAACGUCCGCUGUGUAGCUUAUUGACUUGAUUUGCCUAACGUUAGUGGUGGUUGUCAACUCCGUCUGUAGCCAUGAUAUAACGUUUUCGAAUGAUACCGUGCCUUGUUAUAAAUAGAUAGAAUAUAUACCGAAAUAGCGAUGCAACACCAGAGCAGUAGCAUAGGCUGUCCAGACUGUCUCCGGGAUUGGUUUUAGGUGUGCGUCUGCAGCGUUUCGGAGAGAGGUGAGACGUUGGCGGUUUCAGAGACGCGGGCAACCCCGUAUGUCCUUUGACCUUGUCCUUUGUAUCUUUUAGAGGGGACAUAUUGAUAUACUGUCAAAAUGUCAACAAAAAACAACAAUCUAAACGUGUUGGAUGACAGAGACUAAUGGAGUAGGGAGACAGUUGAGAGCUCUGGGACUGGCAGGGACACCUCAUGGCUUCACACCCUCUUCUAUCCCUCUUCUGCAUGUAUGGUGAAGGUCAGGUUUGGCAAGUUAACGGUACAAGGGUGAUGGAGUUCUCAUUUUUUAAACUUCGACUUGAUUUGAUUAAAACAAACUUUAAUGGAUAAAAAAAAUGUAAAGAAGUAAAAGUAAAAAAAAUCAAAUAAAAUAGAGGGAUUGAUAGAGGAUAUUAACCUGGUUCAAGGGGAAGUGUUGGGUAGAGGAUAUUAACCUGGUUUAAAGGGAAGUGUUGGGUAGAGGAUAUUAACCUGGUUCAAGGGGAAGGGUUGGGUAGAGGAUAUUAACCUGGUUUAAAGGGAAGGGUUGGGUAGAGGAUAUUAACCUGGUUUAAAGGGAAGGGUUGGGUAGAGGAUAUUAACCUGGUUUAAAGGGAAGGGUUGGGUAGAGGAUAUUAACCUGGUUCAAGGGGAAGGGUUGGGUAGAGGAUAUUAACCUGGUUUAGGUUUAAAGGGAAGGGUUGGGUAGAGGAUAUUAACCUGGUUUAGGUUUAAAGGGAAUGGUUGGGUAGAGGAUAUUAACCUGGUUUAGGUUUAAAGGGAAGGGUUGUGUAGAGGAUAUUAACCUGGUUUAGGUUUAAAGGGAAGGGUUGUGUAGAGGAUAUUAACCUGGUUUAGGUUUAAAGGGAAGGGUUGGGUAGAGGAUAUUAACCUGGUUUAAAGGGAAGGGUUGGGUAGAGGAUAUUAACCUGGUUUAGGUUUAAAGGGAAGGGUUGGGUAGAAGAUACCAACUGCCAACCCGGUUCAUGGUAAGGGUCCUUGAUUAAAAUGAGAAAGUAGGGGAUGGAAACUUAUUCUUCAGGAUACUGGAAGGGGAGUGGUGGUUUGUGAUUUUUGAGUGGUGGGAUGAAUGUUUGUGGUUAUCGUUGAUUUUGUUUGGGAGACAGUCAAGAUGGACAGUAGCUUUUUAUAUGGGGGACACAGGUAGAUCUCCGAUCUGGAUUGAUCAAUACUGCCAUGUCAUCAAUGAGAAUUAAACUUAGUGAAUGUGUAUGCUAUAGGUUAUGUGAGCACGAGCACCUGUAUAGGUCAAGUAGAGUAGAUCAUUGGAGGGACUUAUUGGCAUAAUAUGACUGUUAGGACUGUAUCCCCACUGCCCUUAAAACAGCAUCCCAGUAAGCGUUUUGAUGUCUUUUGGACAUCUCUUUUUGGUCCUCAGUCUUUAAUUAAAAAAAAAAAUGUUUUAUUUCAUCCCCCAGGGAUGUUGAAUUUUGGUCCGGACCAAAUCUGAACCAAUCAUAGACAUCUAUGUUUCACAGGUUUGGACAGCAGUGUACAGUAACUUAGUACAGAAAAGUAAAGUAUAGUGUACUCUACUGUACUGUACUGAAUUAAACUAUACUGUACUGAAUUAAACUAUACUCUACUGAAUUAAACUAUACUCUACUGUACUCUACUGAAUUAAACUAUACUGUACUGUACUCUACUGAAAUAAAAUGUAUUGUACUGAAUUAAACUAUACUUUACUGUAGUGUACUCUAAUGUACUCAAUUACUCUACUGUACUCUACUGUAAUUAAACUCUACUGUAUUGUGCUCGACUGAAUAAAACUACUGUACUCUACUGUGCUAAACUGUGCCGUACUGUACUGUGAUGUUCAAACUUGUGAAACAGCCUAGACGUCUAUGAUUCGUUCAGAUUUGGAUCUGGUUUGCACCGGCCAAAUUUUUACUUGUUUGGGGGCGGAGCUCAUUAGAAUAAUAUCCAGCAUGCUUUGCAAGUGUUUUUGUUUUUACAUUUACAUUUUGGUCAUUCAGCAGACGCUCUUAUCCAGAGGAACUUACUGCAUGUGAUAGAUAAAUAUUUGGUUGCGAUCUACAAUUGGUUCCUCUUUCCUAUUAAAACCUGUCUAAGCCAGAGGGUGGGGGUUCUACUAAGGAUCAUUUAGCUGUUUGAAUUUUGAAUUUUAAGACCCCUUGAAGAAUAAAAAAAAACAGAAGAAAAACAUGAUUGGAUGAAUUUUUGGGGACCUUACUGCUAUUAGCAUAUUCAAAUGCCUCGAAUAAUAGAUUCACUACAUGGAACAACAGAUCUAAAGGAAGUUUGUUCUGAAGUGUCUGUCCAAUAUCUGAGAGAAAUAUGAAAGAUCAGGAUUUUUUUACAUGUUUUUAACCCCUUAUUUUUGUCACUAAACAGUCUCCAUACCUCCGUUCAUUUUUUCAACUGGUACCAUGGGACCUUCAGACAAGUCUUGUGUUAACUGUAAUAUAAUGCUUACUUAUUAUAAUUGAGAAUGUAUAUCAGUUGAAAUUUGGCCAUGGAAUUAAUGAUCGAAAAAUAAGUAUUUUCAAAUGCCCCUGAUUUCAACGUCCAGAAAAUUGGUUAUUUUCAAUGUCCGGAAGAUUCAUAUUUUCAUCACCUAAAAUGUACCUGAUGUCAAUGUCUGAAAAAUAGUUGUGAAAUAUGUAUUUUCAAUGGCCUUUUGCUUAUUGGGAUAUGGUUGUCCUCUUAAAUGUGAGUUUGAUAAGUUUAUAGAAGUUAGCAUCCUUCCUCUUGACCUGAUUUAUGUUGAUUUAUGCGUUACCUGUCCACCCAUGCAGUGGCAGACUGUAACCAGCAGGUGGAGACAAAGUUCAGGAAUUCUGAUGGAAUUAGAAUUGUCACCUUUUUUUCCCUACUUUUUCAAACUGUUUUACCUGCAGGCUGCAUGCUCGGUUGGAAAUAACACGGCACUAACACUAGCUCAUUAUUAUUAUUAUGUUGGGUGCUGUGGGUAGUAAUGGUCAGGACUGAGUGUUGCCCUGGUGCCAGUCAGUGUGACUGGGAUGAGUGAGUUAGUGUUGGGUGUCCUCCUGCAUUAUCUUGGAUCAGGGUUAGUUUUCACUUGGGGAACUUCCUGCUAUCUGUUUACACAGUGGUGAUGGCAGGGAGCCCACUCAUGUUACUACUAGAGACCAGGUGGAGAGAAGGGGGAGGUAGAGAGCGAGAUGAGAGAGGGGAAGACUAGAGUGAGAGAGAGAACAAUAGAGAAAGGAAGUCAAGAGGCAGAGAAUCCUAGAGCAGGUCCAGAGAUGAGAGGGAGCAGCCGCAGCCCAGAUGACAUCUCCAUACCAGGGUUUGUUCCUGGUACCCGAGAGGUUGGAUGGAAACCUGUGGAAUUACAGCCUAGAGCAGCAGACUUUAAGCAGGGGAUUGGCUGUAAAGCUGCUGUGUGCCUUUCGGCUGUUCUGUCAGCUGUGACUGUGUGAUGUGGUGUCCAGGACUAGAGCCUGGGACCGCGGCCAAGUCUGACUUCUGACUGGCCAUUGGCCCAGAGUGGCAGGUGGAACAGGGGCUGUAGCCAGUAGCCAGACAGGUGACAGGAGAGAGGCCAGGAACAUCAGAACACUCCAUGGAGCAGAGUUGAGUCAUAGCAGAGUCAUUCGAGUAACUUGGGCAAUGCAAUCAUAUUUAAUUAAGUUCUACAUAAAUUAUUUACUAUACAUUGCCUAUAUUUUUUAGCAAGAACAUUGUGAACAAAUGAACAGCAUAUGUAGUUAGCCCCCUCCCUAUAGUUACAGUAUAGAUACAAUCUUCUGUUUUAGAUUCUGUUGAAACAUUCUCUGACUUAUUCUGAUGGUUCAGUUCAUUGGGUGUGAUUACUGUCUGAAAUAUGAAGGGUUGAGAAUAUAGAAACAUCAAGCACGUGUGAUGUUUUGAGGUUUGAGUCGGGCACCUCCUCGGCUACCUCGGCUAGACUCGUUCAUGAGGACCCGUCGUCUGUUUUAUGCGGAGGAUCUCAAGCACCUCUUUAGGGAGUUUCAUGGAAGAGAAUCAAGUGUCUCACUACAGUGUGUGUGUGUGUGGUGACUACACCCCUAUUCAUUUAAUUAUAAUAUUUUAUUGGGUAGGAGUGCUGAGCUGCCACCUCUCUGGCAUCCGUCAGAAGGUACCCAGGAUGCACCCUGUCCCCAUCCCUCUCUCUGUCUGCCUUGGAAUAUAUUGAUGUCUCUGGUUUGAUCUCCAAACAUUUUGGUUGGCCCUGCAUUCCAGGCUCUCUAUGACCUCCACUGUGAUGAGAAACAGACGGACGGUCAACUAGAAGACUGGAUUUAAGUCUAUUAUGUAAAACGCCUGAUGCCUCUGAAAGUAGUGUAGCUAAUGUUGUAGUGUCAGACACUAGCUUUGAGUCUCUGAGAAUGUAAAGUCCAAAUCUCUGAGUAAACCACGACUUAAACAUGUUUCCAUGUACCAUCUGCCGUAGUAGAAUGGCCCCUUUAUUUCAAUGAACUUGUUGACCUCAGUUCUUUGAUCUAGUCGACAGA